AAGUCGUAACAAGGUUUCCGUAGGUGAACCUGCGGAAGGAUCAUUAACACGUAUCCAACGUUAAAACCCCCCCCGUGAACUUUCAAUCCUGCUCUUGUAACCCGCGUAGUUCGCAAUCUCUGGUAAAUCAUAGCCCGGAAAGUUGUUUUGAUUCAGUCUGGCUACGUGAGAACAAUGGAACCAAGCAGUCAGUGUCGGAAAGUGUCACUGAUUGUGCAAGGAUAGCGCUUCACGAUUCCUGUAGACCGUACACUCGGGCAGGAGCUAUGCCAAAGGGUCCCCAUGCCCCCUUAUAACCCCACAGUUUAAUGUAAAGCUCAAUGUAAUACAUUGGGUAAAAAAACCGAACAACUGUUAACAAUGGAUAUCUUGGUUCUC
rnacentral:misc_RNA from 1 species